UGGCAGACGGGUGAGUAACGCGUGGGAAUCUACCCAGUUCUCUGGAAUAACUGAUGGAAACGUCAGCUAAUACCGGAUACGCCCUUUUGGGGAAAGAUUUAUCGGGAUUGGAUGAGCCCGCGUAAGAUUAGCUAGUUGGUGGGGUAAUGGCCUACCAAGGCGACGAUCUUUAGCUGGUCUGAGAGGAUGAUCAGCCACACUGGGACUGAGACACGGCCCAGACUCCUACGGGAGGCAGCAGUGGGGAAUAUUGGACAAUGGGGGCAACCCUGAUCCAGCCAUGCCGCGUGAGUGAUGAAGGCCUUAGGGUUGUAAAGCUCUUUCACCGGUGAAGAUAAUGACGGUAACCGGAGAAGAAGCCCCGGCUAACUUCGUGCCAGCAGCCGCGGUAAUACGAAGGGGGCUAGCGUUGUUCGGAAUUACUGGGCGUAAAGCGCACGUAGGCGGAUAUUUAAGUCAGGGGUGAAAUCCCGGAGCUCAACUCCGGAACUGCCUUUGAUACUGGAUAUCUAGAGACCGAGAGAGGUAAGUGGAACUCCUAGUGUAGAGGUGGAAUUCGUAGAUAUUAGGAAGAACACCAGUGGCGAAGGCGGCUUACUG
rnacentral:rRNA from 1 species